UGUUGCUGUAUUGGGUGACUUUAACAUC
rnacentral:sRNA from 1 species